rnacentral:rRNA from 1 species
UAAGGAAUAUUGGUCAAUGGACGCAAGUCUGAACCAGCCAUGCCGCGUGAAGGAUGAAGGUCCUCUGGAUUGUAAACUUCUUUUAUAUGGGAAGAAAUUAUUGGAUUCCUCCGAUAUUGACGGUACCAUAAGAAUAAGCACCGGCUAACUCCGUGCCAGCAGCCGCGGUAAUACGGAGGGUGCAAGCGUUAUCCGGAUUCACUGGGUUUAAAGGGUGCGUAGGAGGGCAGGUAAGUCAGUGGUGAAAUCUCCAAGCUUAACUUGGAAACUGCCGUUGAUACUAUCUGUCUUGAAUACCGUGGAGAUGAGCGGAAUAUGUCAUGUAGCGGUGAAAUGCUUAGAUAUGACAUAGAACACCAAUUGCGAAGGCAGCUCGUUACACGAAUAUUGACUCUGAGGCACGAAAGCGUGGGGAUCAAACAGG